GAUGAACGCUGGCGGCGUGCCUAAUACAUGCAAGUCGAGCGAACAGAUGAGGAGCUUGCUCCUCUGACGUUAGCGGCGGACGGGUGAGUAACACGUGGAUAACCUACCUAUAAGACUGGGAUAACUUCGGGAAACCGGAGCUAAUACCGGAUAAUAUAUUGAACCGCAUGGUUCAAUAGUGAAAGACGGUUUUGCUGUCACUUAUAGAUGGAUCCGCGCCGCAUUAGCUAGUUGGUAAGGUAACGGCUUACCAAGGCAACGAUGCGUAGCCGACCUGAGAGGGUGAUCGGCCACCCUGGAACUGAGACACGGUCCAGACUACUACGGGAGGCAGCAGUAGGGAAUCUUCCGCGAUGGGCGAAAGCCUGACGGAGCAACGCCGCGUGAGUGAUGAAGGUCUUCGGAUCGUAAAACUCUGUUAUUAGGGAAGAACAAAUGUGUAAGUAACUAUGCACGUCUUGACGGUACCUAAUCAGAAAGCCACGGCUAACUACGUG
rnacentral:rRNA from 1 species